rnacentral:lncRNA from 10 species
CUCACUGGUACACUCCCACCAGCUCCAUGACAGUUUACCAAUGCCCUGGCAAUGCAGGAAGUUACCCUGUAUGGUCUAAAAAGGGGAGGCAUGAAUAAUCCACCCCUUGUUUAGCAUAUCAUCAAGAAAUAACCAUAAAAAUGGGCAACCAGCAGCCCUUGGGGCUGCUCUGUCUAUGGAGUAGCCAUUCUUUAUUCCUUUCCUUUCCUUUUUUUUUUCAAGACAGAGUUUCGCUUAUGUUGCCCAGGCUGGAGUGCAAUGGCGUCAUCUAGGCUCGCGGCAACCUCUGCCUCCUGGGUUGGGUAUCAGUUUAGACUGUGAAGUCUGGCUGAAGCCAACGGAUGCAGGACACAACAGUAAGGAUGAGCCAAAAGUACUUGGCCUGAAUUAUUUCUUGCGUGAGAUUCAAGGACUCUUAUUGGGGUCUGGAUCAGGAACCCUUUCUGGUAACAGAUGUGCCUGGGGGAGAAGGGGCCAGGAGGAAGGUGAUGCAGAGGCCACCUCCACUAACCCUCAACAGCGUACACCACCUCUGCCACUCCCACUUCACAGGCGAGAAAACCAAGGCUUAGUGCGGUGGGGCCAAGUGCUCAGCGGACACAGCUGGAGAGCGGCGGGCCAGGAUUCCGCAUAAAAAAAGCAGCCCUCUCAGAUCCUGGGAGGACAAACAGGAGAGCUCAUUCCCUAUUCUCCAGCUUCCAUCUCAAAGUCUCCAGGAACCCCCAGCAACCAAAAUAUUCUUGUAAGUGAAUAAGGAAAAGCAAAGCCAACAGGUGAUUCUCGAUGCUCCCGUAGGCCCCAGGGAGUGGAGAAGCACCACGCUCCAAGUGCCUGGACAGAGAGGGAUCUGCCAACGGGAGCUCGGUCAGAAAGAGGAGGAGGGGGAGCCAGGGCAGGGGGCAAAGAAAGAGAGUUCAGUGAGGGGGCAGCACGUGCCAAGGCCCCAAGGAGUGUCCCGGGCAUGGAAUGUUCCGGCAACCAAGAGAAGGCCGUGUGGGUUUGAGUGCAGACAAGGGGAAAGCGGCUCAGCACAGCCAGGGAAAGCCAGCCAGAGUGAGGGACAACGGCCCAGGAAUGGCUGGGGAGCUGCGGCUCUGUCUGGAAAGCAGUGGGUGGGCGUCACUGGCACCUGCUGCCAUCUAUGGAUUCACCCAAGCCAAGGAUGAAGAUGGGGAACCAGCAGGCUCAGGACACAACAUGGGCCCAUCCCUCGUUGACUCCCAUUAGCAGACAGCGACCCGUGCAUGAGCUGCUCUGGGGGACGGCAGCUUCUGGCUCAGGGGCCAGCCUGCGUGUCUCUGCCAUGGCGGGUCAUAACCUCAUCAGCCUCCUUCCUGAAACCCGAAUGCCACACGCCUGCUGAGUUUCUCAGGAUCUCACAAAUCCUACCCCAGUCCCCAACAUCCUGGCCAGCCUGACAGUUACUUCCUGGAGCAUCUUCCAGAGUUCCGUCGGGUUUGCUGACCCUGGUUGAGUGAUGGCAUUUUCUAGCUCUUUCUGUCUGUACCCCAGAAUGUAGCUUGUCUAAGCCCAGUGACUUAAGCCCAAUCUAUUCAUUUCACCACUGUCCCCUGGCAGGAGGAAUUCCUCUGAAAAGACCCCAGGAGCCUGGCGAGGGGUACGCUGGGGAGGCAGCUGGUGACAAGGCCUGGGCAGAAAGCCUGCUUUUCACUAAGAAUUCUUUGAACAUUUUGAAUUUUGUACUAUUUGCAGAUACUGCCUAUUCAAAAAUAAGUAAUUAAUUGAAACAAUGAGAUCAUUCUCUUUGAUACAAAAAGGCAAAACCCUAACCGGAGUCCUGUCGUUCUGCUGUUAUCUCAUCCCGGGCUGGAAUCUGGUCACCCCAAACUCCCCACGCCCCAGCCUCAGCGUCUCCAUCUGUAAACCAAGGCCCAGGCCCUCGGACCUUGGUGGGGGGGCUCCACUUUGUGAGUCUGACUUGUCAUAGCCUGAAGCUGUGGCCUGGGCCCCUGUCUCCGUCCCACUCGCAGGCUGGUUAAAUCCCGGGAGUCAAAACCUCCAGGAGCAGGUUCCGUGGUCUGAGAGUCCAGGACAGCUUGUCACUCAGCAAGACAGCCUGGCGGCGGUGGGGGGGGGGGGGGCGCCAACCAGGGCGACCGAGGACACCAAGGUGGGGCCUGUGGGUGAGGUGCCCCCAGGAGUCUCAGUGGAAGCUCCAGGAAGGUCACAAGAGAUCCCUCCUCCCAGGUGGCCCCUAAAGAGGCCAGCACACAGUCCAUGGAGGAAGAGGCACAGAAUCAAUGAAUCUGGCUUUCAAGGAGCGAAUAAACUUAGGCUUGUUGGUGUCUCAAAGGCAUCUGGUACCUGAAUUGUUCUUGGGGUUCCUACUGGAGGCGCCAGCCCUUAGAGACUGAGCAGCCAGGGACAACACUCCCGGGCGGCUGGCAGUGCCACCCGUUUCCUGCCAACCCAGGACCCGUGGAGACCAGGAUCAGCCUCUAGCAUCCCUGGGGCAGCAGGAGAGACCCUUGUCCCUCCUCCACCCACACACUGGGGAUCCCCAUGCCUCCCUCAUAGCUUGUGAGGAGCCAGGGGUCCGGGGUCAAAGUCAGAUGCCACGAGCUGGAGAGGAAGCGUCGGCAGACGUCCCCUGGGUGGGGUCCUGGGGUCUGCAGGUCACGUGGAGAAGGCACAGCAAGAACAAGACCUAGGCCAGACGGCAGCGUCAGCGCACGCUCCACAGCGGGCUUCCCGCAGCUCUGCACAGCACGGCGAAUUUCCACCUAAGUGUGUCCACGGAGCCUCCACCAGAUCAAAGCUGGAGACAGCCCCAGCUUCCCAGACAGCCUGACGACCCUCAAAACUGCAUUUAAAAACCACUGUUUCGGUGAGUGGGUGAAUCAUUCACAUGGUUCAAAAUUCAAAAGGAACAGAAUGAUGUCGCCUGGAAAUGCGUGUCCUGCCCCAUCCCAGGGACUCAGGGUCCUGCACCUGAAACGGCCUUUGCAGAAGUCCUGUCAGUGAGACAAUUAGAACACCAACCUAAGCUAACCCAGCCCCCAUCCUGCCCUUCCCUUAAUUAUUCCUGGGCUAUUGGGCCAAGCUAACUUUGGAAGACAUUUAGGCUACAGUUUAAAUGAUUGAUAAUAGGCCUUGCCCCAAACCUGCUUUUGUAAAGCUAAUGGGAGGCCCCCAGGCUUCCAGGAGGAGGGAACCAGAGACCUUAUAAGGCGCAGACACAAAGGAUGGUCGGCCAUUAUCCCGGAGGUUACAAAUAUGCAACUUCCCCCAUUACUCCUGCAAGUAACACCACCGCUGUAGAUGGAAGUAUCUUCUGAGAGAUCUUUCCAGGUUUUUUGCAUGUCUGACGCCCACAGCUCCACUCAGACCCCAUGGCUCCACCUGGACCUACAGCCCCGCUCCUGUGGCCCCACCAGAAGCAAUUCGGCUGCAGGAGGAAGGCUUCCACCCCUGUGAUUUCAUCUCCACCCCAACCAAUCAGCAGCAAACAUCUGUUACCUGGCCACCCCUACCUAAACCCCUAAUCUAAUCCGGUUGCGGUGACUCACGCCUGUAAUCUCAGCACUUUGGGAGGCCGAGGCGGGCGGAUCACAAGGUCAAGAGAUCAAGACUAUCCUGGUCAACAAGCGUGGAACUCAGCCAGUCCCGGAAAGCCCUCCCGUGUGUUCUGGAAACAGCUCACUGCAAACAGCCCCCUUCGCACAGGACUGAGAUGAGACUCGCGGCUGCCGGGUCCGCCUAGGAGAAGGCCAGAUCACGGCCUCAUCAGCGAUUCCCUGAGCUGUUUUGUUCCCACAGAAGCAGCAGAACAAAAUGCUUGUUUAAAAAAACAACAAAAAAAGCUUGUUCAGCUUCUCUGCCUCCCCCAAACCCUGAACUGGGAGACCCCCCCCAGCCUAGUUCCCCCUGGGUCAGCCUGUAACCCCACCUUAGCCCCUGAGACUGGGCUGGCCAGGGGGAACCUGCUGUAUCUGCUGCCCCUCAGGCCCCCUCACGCCACUCCCCCACCGAUUCUUUCCAGCCCUGCUCCCUCUCUCCGUCAAAGAAAACCCCUUUCCCUGGCUCUGGAGGCCUUGUAGGCCUUGUAAGUUGGAGUGGUACGUACCCCUACUGUGAGGCGCUCCCCCAAGCCCUGCAAUAAUCCUUUUGGAAUAAAGUUCCCCUUACUAAAUCCGGAUUUGUUUUUUAUUUGACAAUUUCUUCUCUGUGGAAUUCUCGGCUCAACUCAAGGGACGGAGCCGAGCUUAGAAAUAAAACAGGAGCAGCGUCAACAGAAGAUGUCAGGAGUGGGGGCCUCGUUUCUGCGUGGUGAAUUCUGAGACCAGAGCACACCGUCCCAAGAGGGCAGUGGACGCUGGGGAAAGUGUCACGGCCGCUGAAGGAGAG